rnacentral:rRNA from 1 species
GACGAACGCUGGCGGCGUGCUUAACACAUGCAAGUCGAACGAUGAAGCCGGAGCUUGCUCUGGUGAAUUAGUGGCGAACGGGUGAGUAACACGUGAGUAACCUGCCCUUGACUCUGGGAUAACUGCUAGAAAUGGUAGCUAAUACCGGAUACGACCCUCGGAGGCAUCUCCAGGGGGUGGAAAGAAUUUCGGGCAAGGAUGGACUCGCGGCCUAUCAGCUAGUUGGUGAGGUAACGGCUCACCAAGGCGACGACGGGCAGCCGGCCUGAGAGGGUGACCGGCCACACUGGGACUGAGACACGGCCCAGACUCCUACGGGAGGCAGCAGUGGGGAAUAUUGCACAAUGGGCGCAAGCCUGAUGCAGCAACGCCGCGUGAGGGAUGGCGGCCUUCGGGUUGUAAACCUCUUUUAGUAGGGAAGAAGCGAAAGUGACGGUACCUGCAGAAAAAGCACCGGCUAACUACGUGCCAGCAGCCGCCGUAA